rnacentral:rRNA from 1 species
CCUACGGGUGGCAGCAGUGAGGAAUAUUGGUCAAUGGACGAGAGUCUGAACCAGCCAAGUAGCGUGAAGGAUGACUGCCCUAUGGGUUGUAAACUUCUUUUAUAUGGGAGUAAAAUGUUCCACGUGUGGACUUUUGUAUGUACCAUAUGAAUAAGGAUCGGCUAACUCCGUGCCAGCAGCCGCGGUAAUACGGAGUGUCCGAGCGUUAUCCGGAUUGAUUGGGUUUAACGGGAGAGUAGGGGGAUUGUUAAGUCAGUUGUGAAAGUUUGCGGCUCAACCGUAAAAUUGCAGUUGAAACUGGAAGUCUUGAGGACAGUAGAGGUGGGCGGAAUUGUGGUGUAGCGGUGAAAUGCUUAGAUAUCACGAAGAACUCCGAUUGCGAAGGCAGCUCACUGGACUGCAACUGACACUGAGGCUCGAAAGUGUGGGUAUCAAACAGGAUUAGAUACCCUUGUAGUC